UUAUUGUUCCCAACAACUUAAUAGCUAUUGGUAAAGUUAAAUAAUACUGGUGCUACUUCCUGUAAACACCAUCUAAUUUUAUUUUAAGUUAUACCUGUCAUUUUCUUAUCCACCGAAAAGGAAAGGGACGGGUAAUCGACAGGCGUAAAAUUUAUAAACACACGUCAAUAUUAAACACAAAUCUAAAACAACCGUCUAAUUUUUUUUACACUGGUCGAUAACCCAACAGAAUUAUGUUGACAGCUCACGUCAAAUGGUUUGCAUACCAGCGAGAUACCUUUUUGAUUCGCCUGGGUUAUUCACUCAUUUACUUGUUCUUUUUAAAAUUAAGAGCUGUCAAUCACCCGUCCCUUUCCUUUUCGGCGGAUAAGAAUAUGACAGGUAUAACUUAAAAUCAAAUUAGAUGGCGUCUGCAGGAAUUAGCACCAUUAGGAGAUUAACGAUUUUAAAGCACUGCCUGUACAGUCAUGAGCAAUAUAAUGUACCCAAUUUAGGACUCUGUCGCACUAACAUAUUUGACAUUUAGUGAGGACAACUUACAGUUCAAAUUGUCAAAAAAGUUAAUGUGACAUGGUACCAAAGUGUAUACAUAAUUAUUAAUGCUCGUGACCGUACUUGCAAUAGGUACAACUGUGUGUAUGUGUGAAGUUCGGAUUUAAACGAAUCUUAUUUAUCUGAUAACAGGAAGUAAUAAAUUUACAGUUUCAUCAUA